UAUCUAAUUCUACUUAAUUAUAUAAGUAACUAUUGAGGUAAAUAUAUAUAUAUCCGUGAUACCAAAUCUAAAUCUUAAAUCAAAUCCUAAUCAAAUCCUAAAUCCUAAACUAAACCUUAACUAAAUCUUUAUUCUAAAUCAAAUCCUAACCAAAUCCUAAAUCCUAAAUCAAAUCCUAAGAUAGUUUAAAACCUCAAUAUCUUUUGAUUAAACUAUUGAUCUUAUUUAAAAUUUUACACACCUCUCAAUCACUUAGUUACAAACAAAUACAAUAGAUUUGAAGACAAUUAUACUACCAAAUGGAAGAAAAACCUUAAAAUCUGCUUAGAUAUUAGCCGACCUCCUUCCCCAACCUUGAUGCUGAUCUUUUAGUACUAACAUCUUCCUUUUGCACCAUUCAAUUGAUCUCAAAAUUCUCAUAUAUGUAAGAAAAUAAGUCUACUAUCAAUACACAUAAUUUUCACUCCAAUCCAUUUAGUAGAUUGCAAGAAAUCUUAAAAAUCUACAUUAGACCUAAAAUUCUACUUUUUAAGACCCUGAUCUACUUAAACCUCAAUAACCUUCAAUUCAACCAUUAGAUCAAGCUAAAAUUUACAAUACUUAUUAAAAAAAAACUAUAACCAUUAACCUACAAAAUUUCACUUAUAGAUGUGCUACAAAACUCUUGAAAUUAUCCAAAACGUCAAUCCUAUUUUAUAUCACAAAAACUCGAAUUAUUUGAAACAAUCUUGACUUUGUAAAGCUCUUACAAAGUCAUUACAAAUCCAAAUCACAAAAAACUAAUGCUCAUAGAAACCGUAUCAAGUCCACUCUCAAAUCCUACUCUCUGAUCUCCAAAAGAACCCUAGAAUUGCUGUAGGUGUAUAGUUUUGUGCCAAGUUGA
rnacentral:lncRNA from 1 species